CUUCCGCCGGCGACCGGCGCACGGGUGAGUAACACGUAUGCAACCUGCCCCUGUCAGGGGGACAACCCGCCGAAAGGCGGGCUAAACCCGCGUACAUGCCACCGGGGCAUCCCGGAGGCAGGAAAGGCUUCGGCCGGACAGGGAUGGGCAUGCGGCGCAUUAGGCAGUAGGCGGGGUGACGGCCCACCGUGGCGACGAUGCGUAGGGGUUCUGAGAGGAAGGCCCCCCACACUGGGACUGAGACACGGCCCAGACUCCUACGGGAGGCAGCAG
rnacentral:rRNA from 1 species